rnacentral:tRNA from 1 species
GCCGCGGUCGCAUAACCUGGUACGCGCUGGAAACCUGCGGUUUCCGCUGGCGUCCUUGCGCAGGACAUUGCGCUGGAUUGCUAAUCCAGUUUCCUUCGGGAUAUAUGGGUUCAAAUCCCAUCCGCGGCG